UCGGAGUGAGCGGCGGACGGGUUAGUAACGCGUGGGAACGUACCCAGAUCUAAGGAAUAGCCACUGGAAACGGUGAGUAAUACCUUAUACGCCCUUCGGGGGAAAGAUUUAUCGGAUUUGGAUCGGCCCGCGUUAGAUUAGGUAGUUGGUGGGGUAAUGGCCUACCAAGCCUACGAUCUAUAGCUGGUUUUAGAGGAUGAUCAGCAACACUGGGACUGAGACACGGCCCAGACUCCUACGGGAGGCAGCAGUGGGGAAUCUUAGACAAUGGGCGCAAGCCUGAUCUAGCCAUGCCGCGUGAGUGAUGAAGGCCUUAGGGUCGUAAAGCUCUUUCGCCUGUGAUGAUAAUGACAGUAGCAGGUAAAGAAACCCCGGCUAACUCCGUGCCAGCAGCCGCGGUAAUACGGAGGGGGUUAGCGUUGUUCGGAAUUACUGGGCGUAAAGCGCACGUAGGCGGAUUAGAAAGUUAGGGGUGAAAUCCCGGGGCUCAACCUCGGAACUGCCUCUAAAACUCCUAGUCUAGAGUUCGAGAGAGGUGAGUGGAAUUCCAAGUGUAGAGGUGAAAUUCGUAGAUAUUUGGAGGAACACCAGUGGCGAAGGCGGCUCACUGGCUCGAUACUGACGCUGAGGUGCGAAAGUGUGGGGAGCAAACAGGAUUAGAUACCCUGGUAGAAGGGC
rnacentral:rRNA from 1 species